rnacentral:lncRNA from 1 species
UUGAUACUUCGCUCCAAUAACAUUGUUACAGAAAAGAAGAAGAAGAAAGAACUGUAGCUUCAUGGUCUAGAUUUUUGCUCGUGAUUUUUCCAUAGUUGAUAUAUAUGGUCUAUGAAUUGUAAACUCUCACUAGCUAGGGAGUUGUAACUAAGAAUGUGCAAUCUCUAAACUUGGAAAAGCAUGCAAGACACUCAAUGCCUCCAUCAUCAUGAUAGGGUUGUCUGCUCUGUUUGGAGCCUGCCAUAGGCUCAAUUAUGCAUGCCUAUAAAAAAACUAACAUAGAACCUAACACCUCCAAACAAUACAAACACAAUUUAAAAAAAUAAAAACUGUUAAUUAUAAUGACAUAUGUUAGAGUGG